GGUAGAGCACUGUUUCGGCAAGGGGGUCAUCCCGACUUACCAACCCGAUGCAAACUGCGAAUACCGGAGAAUGUUAUCACGGGAGACACACGGCGGGUGCUAACGUCCGUCGUGAAGAGGGAAACAACCCAGACCGCCAGCUAAGGUCCCAAAGUCAUGGUUAAGUGGGAAACGAUGUGGGAAGGCCCAGACAGCCAGGAUGUUGGCUUAGAAGCAGCCAUCAUUUAAAGAAAGCGUAAUAGCUCACUGGUCGAGUCGGCCUGCGCGGAAGAUGUAACGGGGCUAAACCAUGCACCGAAGCUGCGGCAGCGACGCUGAUGCGUUGUUGGGUAGGGGAGCGUUCUGUAAGCCUGCGAAGGUGUGCUGUGAGGCAUGCUGGAGGUAUCAGAAGUGCGAAUGCUGACAUAAGUAACGAUAAAGCGGGUGAAAAGCCCGCUCGCCGGAAGACCAAGGGUUCCUGUCCAACGUUAAUCGGGGCAGGGUGAGUCGACCCCUAAGGCGAGGCCGAAAGGCGUAGUCGAUGGGAAACAGGUUAAUAUUCCUGUACUUGGUGUUACUGCGAAGGGGGGACGGAGAAGGCUAUGUUGGCCGGGCGACGGUUGUCCCGGUUUAAGCGUGUAGGCUGGUUUUCCAGGCAAAUCCGGAAAAUCAAGGCUGAGGCGUGAUGACGAGGCACUACGGUGCUGAAGCAACAAAUGCCCUGCUUCCAGGAAAAGCCUCUAAGCAUCAGGUAACAUCAAAUCGUACCCCAAACCGACACAGGUGGUCAGGUAGAGAAUACCAAGGCGCUUGAGAGAACUCGGGUGAAGGAACUAGGCAAAAUGGUGCCGUAACUUCGGGAGAAGGCACGCUGAUAUGUAGGUGAAGUCCCUCGCGGAUGGAGCUGAAAUCAGUCGAAGAUACCAGCUGGCUGCAACUGUUUAUUAAAAACACAGCACUGUGCAAACACGAAAGUGGACGUAUACGGUGUGACGCCUGCCCGGUGC
rnacentral:rRNA from 1 species